rfam:Sarcophilus harrisii ctg7180002523461, whole genome shotgun sequence.
UUUGCAGAUAUUCUGGGCUGAUUGAAUGAUGUCUAGACUCUUCUGUAAUGACUUCAUUUGAGAACAGAAGGCCUUCAGGGAAUACAUUCAGCCAAGCCCCCAAAAAAGACUGCCCUGGGGUGAAACAAAUACCUUUGAGAU